rnacentral:rRNA from 1 species
GACGAGCCACACGAACGUUAUUCGGAAUUACUGGGCUUAAAGGGUGCGUAGGCUGCGCGGAAAGUUGGGUGUGAAAUCCCUCGGCUCAACCGAGGAACUGCGCCCAAAACUGCCGUGCUCGAGGAAGAUAGAGGUAAGCGGAACUUACGGUGGAGCGGUGAAAUGCGUUGAUAUCGUAAGGAACACCUGUGGCGAAAGCGGCUUACUGGGCCUUUUCUGACGCUGAUGCACGAAAGCUAGGGGAGCAAACGGGAGUUAGAUAUCCCUGUAGUCC